AUGCCUAUGAACUAUUCACUUGUUAUUGAUCCAUUUAAUAUUUGGGGAUUUGAUUAUAUGGGAUCUUUUUCUUCCUCCAAUGGAUAUACACAUAUUUUGGUUGUUGUUGAUUGUGUUACUAAGUGGGUAGAAGGUAUUCCAACUAGUAGUGCUGAUCAUAACACUUCCAUUAAAAUGCUUAAAAAAAUUAUUUUUCUGAGGUUUGGAGUUCCUAGAUAUUUAAUGACUGAUGGUGGUUCACACUUUAUUCAUGGUGCUUUCCGUAAAUUGCUUGCUAAGUAUGAUGUCAACCAUAGAGUUGCAUCUCCGUAUCAUCCCCAGUCUAGUGGUCAAGUAGAAUUGAGCAAUAGAGAAAUUAAAUUGAUCUUGCAAAAGACUGUUAACAGAUCUAUAAAGAAUUGGUCUAAGAAACUUGAUGAUGCAUUAUGGGCUUAUAAAACCGCAUAUAAAAACCCUAUGGGUAUGUCUCUGUAUAAAAUGGUUUAUGGAAAAGCAUGUCACUUACCUCUACAAGUAGAACAUAGAGCUUAUUGGGGAAUUAAAGAGCUCAACUAUGAUUUCAAACUUGUUGGUGAGAAAAGGUUAUUUGACAUUAGCUCACUUGAUGAAUGGAGAACCCAGGCCUAUGAGAAUGUCAAGUUGUUUAAAGAAAAAGUUAAAACAUGGCAUGACAAAAGGAUACAAAAAACAUGA
rnacentral:rRNA from 1 species